ACCAGCGAGAAGGUGAAUGAGUGAGGAGUAGAGGUGAGUGAGUUGUUAGGGUGCCAGUGAGUGAGUGAUUGAUGAAUGAAUGAGUGAGUGAGUGAGUGAGCGAACGAGUGAUUGCUUCCUUCAGUUGUAUUGGUUUGUGUGUCGGAGGAAGAGUUUCGAAGGAAGAUUAACAUAUAUAAAUAUACAAUAUAUAUACACACACACACACACACGCACAUACACACUUACACACAUACACACUUACACACA